CCAUAUUGAAAAGCUUCCGGUUGGUUUGACAUGGGAUUAUGAGUGUGUUUUUACGUUUCUAGUAACAUAGUAAUAAGAUUUCUAUACUCAAACGGCUCCGAUUGAAGUGACUCGUACAGGAUUUCACGAGUGUUUUUGAAGUUCUGGUGACAAUAUCAAGACCAGGGUUAAAUAUACUAAUAGACCCUGAACAAGACUGCGUUGGUGUUUCCACGUCUCCAAUUUAUCAUAUUACUGGACUAAUCCACGAAACCGAGCCACAGAAGUAGGACUACGUUAUCAAAACUCUGUAGUCAGCAGCCCCUAAUGGUUCCCGUGAUCCGUGGCCUGCAAGACAGCCACGUCAGGAUAGAAUGACCCGGUAUAUUAAGACCAGCUGAUCUACUGAUAUGCUGCCGCCAUCAUCUCAAAGGCUCAAGAAACAGCAAUCUAGAUGAGGUUUGUGGACGUCCAGCAGCACACAUACUUUCAGAGAGACUUGUUGGAACUGCAAGACAAAGAAUAAGGGUGAGGAUGAAGGACACUAUAACAUUCACUGCACUGAAGGAGGAGGUGUAAGGAAACUGACUUCCUUGAAGAAGCUACAGCAAAACUGGUGUUUUCCUCAUGCCACCUCCUCCACCCUCUCAAUGUCUGAACAUUCACUGCAUUAUUGGUUUAAAAUUUCUUUUUUUGUGAAAGGUGACUCGAUCGCUCGUCCCGACAUCCUCUGGAGAGAGAAAAACAAAAAAGAAAAAAAAAAUGCAAACAAACGACAAUCAAUAUUUCACAUUAAUUCCUACAUCUAAAGGUGCGUCCACACGAUCGAACAAUGUUCGACGGACAAAAUUGUUACCAAUUACCAGUGGAAAGCAGAAAGGCUCGCUGAUGACGUCAGAAGCGAGCACCAAGUGGUGUACCGGACACUGUCCAUGUUCGCAACAUCGAAAGGUCAGACACUGUCUGGUGUGGAAGUAUACGAUAUACGAUGCUGCCAGGCACACGACAAACAAAGUCACUUGGUUACAGGAUUUUCAAAGUCCGUCAGUUCACUAGUUCUCAAUUGUCCUGUUAACAUGACCAGCAGUACCUCAGUCAAGGAGAAAAGUUGCCACUGGGACAGAAAAGAGACCCUGCUACUAAUAGAACUAUACCGGCAAAAUCUAUGCUUAUGGAAUGUCAAGGCUGAUGUGUACAAGGAUAGGAACAAACGUGUCGCGGCCACCAAUGAAAUAACGGCAGGACUUAAUAGAAGUGGAUUAUCUGCUACUACUUCUGAAGUGAAGAAAAAAAAUAGAAUCUAUCCGUAGUCAAUAUAGGAGAGAGCUACGAAAACUGGAAAAAUCAAAGAAGUCGGGGGCUGGUGCUGACGACAUUUACACCCCCAUAUUAUGACCUCUGCUUCCUCAACGAUGGCGACAGCAUGAGAGAAUCCGUUUCAAGUAUGGAUAGCCAAGUGUCUCAUGUGCCUGAAGAAGUGUCUGAUCAUGAGAUCACAGCACCUUCCUCAUUGAAAUACAAUUGUGCCGUUGAUGGUGGAGGUGUGUUCUUCAUACUCGAGCGGUAGCAUGCCAGGGAUUUCUUCAGUGUUUUCUAUAUUUGCAUCCGAACACAAAUUUGGGGUGAUAGGUGCUUUGCGAAGAUUUUCAAUAAAAUGAAGAUGGUUCUGUAACCAAUACAACACCAACGCCUGUCACACCUGUCCCAAGUACAUCGCAUGAUAAUGUACAACCUGCAACACCUGAGUCUUCACGCAUUCAGACUCAAACUACCCGAGGGAGAAAAAGGUCUUUACUCACUGACGAGAGGCAUGAGGGGCUUCAAGAAGCACUUCAUCAACUUAAAGAACUAUCUCGAUCGGAGAAGGAGGAUAGCGAUGAAGAAAGUGCUUUUGGUGAUGUUGUUACCAAUGAUUUACGAAAGAUGAAUGAAGAAAAUAGGAUCCAUGCACAGAAACUAAUUUCUGAGGUACUUUAUCUGGGAAAAUUAGGGAAGCUCACCUUUUCAUCCAAGGUUGUUGGCUAAUUAUGUACGACCAUAAUUUUGUCUGUAUUGAAAGUGGCAUCAAUAUGUUUACAAUAAAGCUGUGAAAGUAA